rnacentral:hammerhead_ribozyme from 1 species
AUCCAGUUAAUGAGUCCCAAAUAGAACGAAAUGCGCAUACAGGAU